rnacentral:rRNA from 1 species
UACGGGGGGGGGCAAGCGUUGUUCGGAAUUACUGGGCGUAAAGGGCUCGUAGGUGGCCAACUAAGUCAGACGUGAAAUCCCUCGGCUUAACCGGGGAACUGCGUCUGAUACUGGAUGGCUUGAGUUUGGGAGAGGGACGCGGAAUUCCAGGUGUAGCGGUGAAAUGCGUAGAUAUCUGGAGGAACACCGGUGGCGAAGGCGGCGUCCUGGACCGGCAUUGACGCUGAGGAGCGAAAGCGUGGGGAGCAAACAGG